UGUGAGCCGCUGUGCCCAGGCCAAUCCCAGAGAUUUUGAAGAUGAUUUCUCGAUACGAGUUUCACGAAGACUUGAAAAGAAUGUGUCCUCUGUUGUUGGAUGGAGUGUCCUUGAAAUGUUCAUUAGCCUUCUAGCUCCAUUCAGAAGAGCCUCCGAAGUAGAGACCAGAAAUCCUUCUAGUGGGCUGUGCUUUGAGCAGUACUGCUUGUUGACUGCUUUACUUGGAAGGAGAGAUCGACUGAGGUAAGGCUCUUACUAAUGCACGUGCUUUGCUAAUGGUUUGGCCAGAUGAUCAAAAAUGUGGAAGGGGUAAGAUUCAAGGAUUGGUGACAAGGAAGUUUAGAAUAACAGAGAUGUGGAUGGGCCUCCUAGAAUGACCAAAGAAUAUGAGAAUAUUUAUGUUUCAUGUGAACAUUCAUCAAGCUCCUAUUGGUAGUCAGGUAGACAGGUAGACAAGGUGGUCUACUUUGAGGAUGCUGAUUAAUCUCUUCCUCCAGUGACGCAGGGUUUGCUCAGUGGGCUCAUGGACAGAGUGGCCCUGAUGGCUCAGUGGAGGGCUUGGUAUAGGCUUAGCCACAUGGACUCACCAAGACUAACCUGGUUACAGCCGUUGUUGAAUGCCCAACAUUCUACAGCAGAAACCAACCCUGAGCUCCUGACUUGGUGCCAUACCGUGGGGGGACCAACCUGCUGCUUCAGGCCCGGGAAAGAAGUGGACAAGACUCUGCUCUCUUCAUGGAACCGAGUAUUCUAAGGACACAGCCAAGUCAGGAGACUACACCCCUAGUAUAAUAAGUCCUGUGGCUGUACUGAGAAGAGGUCCUGACUCAGAACUGGAGGACAUCAUGGAAGGCUUCCUGGAGGAAGUGCCAUCUAGGCUGAAACCUAAAGGAUGAGUAGAACUAACCAGAUGAAAAGGGCACUGAUGGAGCUUACAAAUGUGAUGGCGGAGGCUUGAUCUACAUGAACUACUUUGCAUAAGUACUUUGAAGAAUCAUGGGGAAACGGAGAGGAGUCAGAAGACUGCAAAAGAGCAAAUGUGGCUUCAAUUUUCAAAAACAGGAUAAAGGAUAGAUUUAGAAAGUACAAAGCCUGAGGGAUCUAAAGCCUUGGGACUUCUGGAUCUGCAAGUGGUCCCUGUUUUGGUAGCUAUUGACUGACGAGGGGCUCUUCGGUAAGUUCUGGGGUGGCAGUGGAGGUGAUGAUGGGAGGGUGUUACAGGGCUCCACAGGCUCUUACAGGGCUCGGGAGCUUAUUUAAGGGAACACCUUGAUUGUCCAUGUGUCGUGGGCCAGAGAAGAAAGGCAGCACUGUGGAUCUUCUGGGAGGAAAGGAGAGGCGUCGAUUUCUGACUCCAGUUUUCUAUGAUCAGCACAGACUCUGUCCCACCUCCUCCCUACAGAGCUUCUGGAUCCUGGAGGAUGGAGAAUAGGCUAAAUUGCACAGGCCAGCUCCAGUCCAUUGGCAGGGCUGCCUAGAACAUGGCUGUGAUGAUCCCAAAGCUCAAUAGCAGAGAACCCUGUGGGGUGCUAGGAGUGUCUGCCAGGGUGCCGCAGGGAAAGGGGAGCAUGUGUGUAGAUGUAGAAAGCAUCUCUGCCAUCCCCUCCCCUAAAGAAUAUAUAACAUGGCCAUGCAGAAAAACACUUGUGAAAGGAGCUGCUGCCCUCAGGACAGCGUGUCAUUGAAAUGGGGGCUGAGCAACCCGUCAGAAGAGUGGGGAGGAGGGACCAUCCUCCAGCCCCUUCCCAGCUCUCUUCUGGAGCCAUAAGCCACAACACUGUCUAUGAAAAAGCUGAGGCCUAGAGCAGAAGGAGUGCAAAAUCCCAGCUACUGCAGGCCUACGCCCAGUGGUUCUCAAAGUGUUGUCCUCAGUCUAGCAGCAUCAGUGUCACCUGAAAACUGGUUAGACAUCCAGGUUCUCAGUUGUUAUCCAGCUCUAGCAGAUGGGAAACGCUGGGGGCGGGACCAGCCAUCUGUGUUUAACAAGCCCCACAGGUGACUGCUGUAGCCUUGAGUGAGGACCUCGGCCAAAAAGAAGGCUCCUACCGUGGCUGUUUGCUGAUGGUCUUCGCAGAGCCUGCUGUCUUUGAGCUUCCUGAGAGAGGGACACUACCCUCGCUUAGCCUGGCAGUGUUGCCCAGGAGGAGGCAGUGGAGUUAAGAAGCCUGGGUCUGAGCUCCUCAGCUGUGCAGACAACUCCUACUUGUUCUUCAACGCUCAACUUUAAGUUCAGUCACCACCUGCAGAAGUCUUCUCCAAAACCUCCCCACCUGGCUGACUAAGGGGCUGGCUUUAUGCUCUUGCAGUACUCAUGCUUCCUACUGUCACAGUUCUGACCACACCGUGGGAAAACGUCUCUAACUAGAGACCUGUCUUGCCUCUUGUGCCUGUAGUACGGGAUGGGUGCCCAGUGUGUGUUGAUUGUAUGAAUCAAUCUCUGUGACUCCAGAGUUCCUUUCUUCAGGAGAUUAGACAUCACCCCUGCAAUCAACAAUGCAAGCCACUGCUGUUUCCUCCAUCCUGAGCAUGAGGAACCUAUCCAGUUUCUCUCUCAGAUGCCAGGGCCAUGAGGCAAGUCCAGCCUUGGCCUAGAACCAAAGAUGGAAACAAAAAGGGGCCAGACUGUGUUGCCUUCUUGAGCCUGGUCUGACUCCUGAGUGGAAGUCUGAUUCCAGGUACAUGAGAUAAGCACUAAUACCUCCAGUUUGCAGAUUAAGAGACUGAGGUCCUGAAGAGGUUAAAGAACUUGGCUCAAGUCACAUAGCUGGUGAGCAGCAAGAUACAAGAAUCAACCCAAGUCCAGGGGGCUGUGUGCCGUUUACACUUCACAUCUGUGCUGCCAGGGCUGUAGCUAUAAAAGCUUGAAAACCAUUACUCUGAGAAUCUCUCUGUUGGGAAAAUGAGUCCCUUCAACUCUAGUUGUUGCCACUGGGAUGCUAACAGAAAGCAAAGUCUCAGAGGAAAGAUGUGGCAUUCCUGAGUGUCUUCCAUGUACCAGGACUUCUAUUUGCUAGCCACUUUAUGUUCCUCAUCCCAUCCUUCUGUGAGGGACAUACUUUUCAGAUGAGAAACGUAAGCUCCGCGAAGCUAAGGGGCCGGACUGAGGUCCCACAGCGAGAGUGUGGAGGAGCCAGGAUCCGAACCCCAUCGCCAGCCCUUGCCAGUUCCAUGAUUCCGGUGCCAGCGCUCGCCUGACCUCCAGGGCUGUCAUGGUGGGAAGGGACUGGAGGGCAUCUGCUGGGCAAAGGAAAGAGACAAACAUCAUCCCAGAGCCUGUCUUCCCUGGGCAAUACCCGGGCCACUCCAGACAUGGCGUCUUUAGCCCUUCCUUGGUCACUGGCCCCCAGGUGAAGAGAGCAUUUUUCUCUGACUCAAGUUCUUGCCUCUGGAUUUGCCAAGCUCCUAUGACAGUCUUCGCCCUUCUGAAGCUCUCUCAGGCUCCCCUUCCAGAAAUCCCGCAGGUUCCACCGACCUCUCUGAGAGCACAGGCGAGUGGUUGAACGGUGGGCUUUAGAGACGGCGCGGCACCAGAGUCCUGUACUGGCUGUGUGAUCCUGAACCUCCUCACUGAGAUUCUCAUCUGCAAGAUGGAGA
rnacentral:lncRNA from 1 species